rnacentral:rRNA from 1 species
UACGUAGGGACCAAGCGUUGUUCGGAUUUACUGGGCGUAAAGGGCGCGUAGGCGGCAAAUUAAGUCAUCUGUGAAAUCUCCGAGCUUAACUCGGAACGGUCAGGUGAUACUGAUCUGCUAGAGUGCGGAAGGGGCAAUCGGAAUUCUUGGUGUAGCGGUGAAAUGCGUAGAUAUCGUAAGGAAGACCAGUGGCGAAGGCGGGUCUCUGGACAGUUCCUGACGCUGAGGCACGAAGGCCAGGGGAGCAAACGGG